GAUCCAGCUUGCUGGAUGCUGACGAGCGGCGGACGGGUGAGUAAUGCAUAGGAUCUGCCCGAUAGUGGGGGAUAACCUGGGGAAACCCAGGCUAAUACCGCAUACGUCCUACGGGAGAAAGGGGGCUCCGGCUCCCGCUAUGGGAUGAGCCUAUGUCGGAUUAGCUAGUUGGUGAGGUAACGGCUCACCAAGGCCACGAUCCGUAGCUGGUCUGAGAGGAUGAUCAGCCACAUCGGGACUGAGACACGGCCCGAACUCCUACGGGAGGCAGCAGUGGGGAAUAUUGGACAAUGGGGGCAACCCUGAUCCAGCCAUGCCGCGUUGUGUGAAGAAGGCCCUCGGGUUGUAAAGCACUUUCAGCGAGGAAGAACGCCUAGCGGUUAAUACCCGCUAGGAAAGACAUCACUCGCAGAAGAAGCACCGGCUAACUCCGUGCCAGCAGCCGCGGUAAUACGGAGGGUGCAAGCGUUAAUCGGAAUUACUGGGCGUAAAAGCGCGCGUAGGUGGCUUUGAUAAGCCGGUUGUGAAAAGCCCCCGGGCUUCAAACCCUGGGAAACGGCAUCCGGAAACUGUCAAGCUUAGAGUGCAGGAAGAGGAA
rnacentral:rRNA from 1 species